GCAGGCUGCAACUCGCCUGCAUGAAGCUGGAAUUGCUAGUAAUCGCGGAUCAGCAAGCCGCGGUGAAUACGUUCCCGGGCCUUGUACACACCGCCCGUCACACCAUGAGAGUCGGGAAUGCCCGAAGUCAGCGGCCCAACCGAAAGGAGGGAGCUGCCGAAGGCAGGCCUGGUGACUGGGGUGAAGUCGUAACAAGGUAAC
rnacentral:rRNA from 1 species